AUUUACCCUUCUAUCACUAGUGCCUGGCAAUGCCUGGAACACAACAGACGUUCAGUAAGUAUUUGAUGAAUGAGUGAACCAAGUUUUACAUAACACCAUCCUCAGUGUGAGUGGAAAUGAAGAUUCAGUGUGAGCUAUGGAGAUGGGGAGGGAGGCAGCAGUGUCCAUUGACAUAAAAGCAAAGGCUUCCAGAGCAGAUGGGAUUCCCUCUGGUUUCACAUUAGAAGGCUGCCAAAAAUGGCCGGAACCUGGGGACUUGGGAAUUGUGACCAGCAAGAUCAAUGUUCACCUUGAGCUUGUUUUGUUGUCUUUGCUCAAAAAUGAGGAAAAUCUGCCUGAGAAUGAAGCAUAGAGGGGGAAGCAUUGUUGAGAUGGAAAGAGAAAAUACCCAGGAAUCUUAUCAAGGCUGAGCAGAAGAUUUGGAAACUCAUAAUGCAUUUCCCAAGAAGUUGCAAAGGUUGUGAAAUUCACAGGGCUCAACCUUUCUGAGAAUGGGAGCUGACUGGACAAGACAGAUCAUUUCCAGUAAUGUUCCCAGUCAUUCAGCAAGCUGCACUGAGCCAGCCAUGAGAAGCUAUGGAUGAUAUAGCCUGGCCCAGUACCCUUAAGGAGAUCAGAAGAUAUAAAAACCAAGUUGCUGCCAGUUGCAGAGUUUCAA